UCUUAGAAACAGAGAGCGUUGAUUUUUAUGCCAAGUACUAAACGCUUUUGUAUAAGUAACCCUUACAACAGUCUGAAGCUAAUCUUUCUUUUCUUCUUUUUUUGCGAUGGAGUUUCUCUCUUGUUGCCCAGGCUGGAUGGAGUGCAAUGGCGCCAUCUUGGCUCACUGCAACUUUUGCCUCCCGAGUUCAAGUGAUUCUCUUGCCUUAGCCUCUGGAGUAGCUGGGAUUACAGCAACAGAAAAUGGACAAAGAUAUGGAGCAAGGGGCAGAAUGAUUCUUGAAGAUGCCGAGUAACUUCUGGGAUCUGGCCAAGACAAGCUUCAUAUUCUGCCCUGUGCUGCCGACAAACCUGCCCUAGGAAUAGUGUCUCCUACUCGGUAAACGAGAACCUUUUACUCAGUUACUCAGGAC
rnacentral:lncRNA from 13 species